CCUACGGGUGGCAGCAGUGAGGAAUAUUGGUCAAUGGCCGUAAGGCUGAACCAGCCAAGUCGCGUGAAGGAAGACGGCCCUAUGGGUUGUAAACUUCUUUUAUAGGGGAAUAAAGUUAGCCACGUGUGGUUAUUUGCAUGUACCCUAUGAAUAAGCAUCGGCUAAAUCCGUGCCAGCAGCCGCGGUAAUACGGAGGAUCCGAGCGUUAUCCGGAUUUAUUGGGUUUAAAGGGAGCGUAGGUGGGUUGUUAAGUCAGCGGUGAAAGUUUGUGGCUCAACCAUAAAAUUGCGGUUGAUACUGGCAGUCUUGAGUACGGUUGAGGUAGGCGGAAUUCGUGGUGUAGCGGUGAAAUGCUUAGAUAUCACGAAGAACUCCGAUUGCGAAGGCAGCUUACUAAACCGCUACUGACACUGAAGCACGAAAGCGUGGGGAUCAAACAGGAUUAGAUACCCGAGUAGUC
rnacentral:rRNA from 1 species